AGGCCACCGCCUGCGCGGUCCCCGCGGCCCGCAGGCCUGGCGCCCUCCCCCUGUGCCCCGCUGUGCGUGUCUUUUCCUGUUCCCGGUGGUCCUUUCCUGCCUCUUGCCCUCCCCGCUCUGCCUUCCCGCCCACUCCGCGCUGCGCCCGGCAGCCCAGCUCCCUUCACCCCACUCCUGCCCUCUCUCCUCCUCCGCUCCUCGCUCCUCUGGGUUCGGCCAAGUCCAGAGCUCUCCGAAGCCUCAGGCUGCCCCGGGACCAGCCCUGCUUUCCCCUCCUGCCUCCCCGCUGGCCCGUGAGUUGGGUUUGCGCGGGUGUGUGCAGGCUGUCCUGGGGCCAAAGCCCAGUUUUGUCUCUUGACCCCUGGUAGAUAAGUAUCUCGGGGACAAGUAUCUCGAAUCAUCCUUCGGGUCUCAGGGGAAGGUUCUAGGAGUGAAAGCAGACAAGAACAGUUCUGGGGAGACCCUUUUAUGCAAAAUACUUUCUCCCACUCCUCAGGAAGGGAGCCGAGGUCCCUUCCUCCCCCCCUCCCCCCCUCCACCGAAUCUCUCAAGACACAGGACAGUUUGUGGCAGGACAGAUGCCUCGCAGCACGAGUGCUUCACCAGGCAUCAGGCGUUGCCAUGCUUUGGUUUCUUUGGUGUAAAUAUACCGGAGUUCAAACGUUCACUUCAGAAUACUUAAGGCCAGUGGGAAAUUCACACUCCAGAGGUACAAAAUGCCUGUCAAGGGGACUCUUCCUCUGCUGAGAAAGAUCUUCUCACUAUUCAAGUGUCACCUUCAUCACCAAAGGGAACCUCACCCAUGGAAUCGAACUUGGCUGUGAGUCCUAGGAGAACAGAGGUAAUGUGUCUGUCUUGUUCACUGUGGAAUCCCUGGGGCCCUGGACAGGGCCUCCCAUGUGACAGAGACAGAGAGAGACAGAGCAUGAAUGGGGAAAGGUCAGAGAGAGAGGGAGACACAGAAUCUGAAACAGGCUCCAGGCUCUGAGCUGUCAGCACAGAGCCCGAUGCGGGGCUCGAACUCAUGGACCGCGAGAUCACGACCUGAGCCGAAGUCGGUCGACCAACCGACUGAGCCACCCAGGUGCCCCGGGUCUGACUCUUGAUUUCAGCUCCUGUCAUGAUCCUAGGGUCAUGGGAUAAAGCCCUCUGUCAGGCUCUGCACUCUGCUUGGAGCCUGCUUGAGAUUCUCUCUUUCUCCCUCUGCCCCUCUCCUCCUGCUCCUACUCUGUCUUUAUAAAGUUAAAAAAAAAUUUUUUUUAAAGCAUUUGUUAAGUCAAUGAGUAAAUGAAUUCAGGAUGAGAAGGAUAGUACAUAGUCACAGACUGCCUAUUUUAUUUGUAUUUUUUUUAAUGUUUAUUUUUGAGAGAGAGAGAGACAGACAGAGUUCAAGCAGGGGAGGGGCAGAGAAAGAGGCAGACACAGAAUGGAAGCAGGCUCCAUGCUCCGAGCUGUCAGCACAGAGCCUGACUCGGGGCUAGAACUCGCAGGCUGCAAGAUCAUUACCUGAGCUGAAAUUGGGCUCUCCACCGACGGAGCCAGGCAACCCCCCCCCCCCCCCCCCACCGACUACGUAUUUUAAGCAAAUAAUAAUAAAAACAUGCUUAUCAGUGAAACCAGA